rnacentral:tRNA from 2 species
GGACCUGUAGCUCAGCUGGUAGAGCAGCGCGUUUACACCGCGGAGGUCGUCGGUUCGAGUCCGGCCGGGUCCACCA